GUCUACGGCCAUACCACCCUGAAUGUGCCCGAUCUCUUCUGAUCUCGGAAGCUAAGCAGGGUGGGGUCUGGUUACUACUUGGAUGGGAGAAAACCAGCCUUAACUA
rnacentral:rRNA from 1 species